rnacentral:rRNA from 1 species
AUUGAACGCUGGCGGCAUGCCUUACACAUGCAAGUCGAACGGCAGCACGGGGCAACCUGGUGGCGAGUGGCGAACGGGUGAGUAAAGUAUCGGAACGUACCAUUCAGUGGGGGAUAACGUAGCGAAAGUUACGCUAAUACCGCAUAUUCUCUCCGGAGGAAAGCAGGGGAUCGCAAGACCUUGCGCUGAUUGAGCGGCCGAUAUCAGAUUAGCUAGUUGGUGAGGUAAAGGCUCACCAAGGCGACGAUCUGUAGCGGGUCUGAGAGGAUGAUCCGCCACACUGGAACUGAGACACGGUCCAGACUCCUACGGGAGGCAGCAGUGGGGAAUUUUGGACAAUGGGGGCAACCCUGAUCCAGCCAUGCCGCGUGAGUGAAGAAGGCCUUCGGGUUGUAAAGCUCUUUCGGCCGGGAAGAAAUCGCAUGGGCUAAUACCCUGUGUGGAUGACGGUACCGGAAUAAGAAGCACCGGCUAACUACGUGCCAGCCGCCGCAGUAAUAC